CCUACGGUGGCAGCAGUGGGGAAUAUUUGACAAUGGGCGAAAGCCUGAUCCAGCCAUGCCGCGUGUGUGAAGAAGGCCUUCGGGUUGUAAAGCACUUUCAGUGGGGAAGAAAGCCUUGGGGCUAAUACCCUCGAGGAAGGACAUCACCCACAGAAGAAGCACCGGCUAACUCCGUGCCAGCAGCCGCGGUAAUACGGAGGGUGCGAGCGUUAAUCGGAAUUACUGGGCGUAAAGCGCGCGUAGGCGGUCUGAUAAGCCGGUUGUGAAAGCCCCGGGCUCAACCUGGGAACGGCAUCCGGAACUGUCAGGCUAGAGUGCAGGAGAGGAAGGUAGAAUUCCCGGUGUAGCGGUGAAAUGCGUAGAGAUCGGGAGGAAUACCAGUGGCGAAGGCGGCCUUCUGGACUGACACUGACGCUGAGGUGCGAAAGCGUGGGUAGCAAACAGGAUUAGAUACCCCAGUAGUC
rnacentral:rRNA from 1 species